rnacentral:rRNA from 1 species
GAUGAACGCUGGCGGCGUGCCUAAUACAUGCAAGUCGAGCGAACAGACGAGGAGCUUGCGCCCCUGACGUUAGCGGCGGGCGGGUGAGUAACACGUGGAUAACCUACUUAUAAGACUGGGGUGACUUCGGGAAAACGGAGCUAAUACUGGAUCAUACGUCGAACCGCAUGGAUCAAUAGAGCAUGACGGCUUUGCCGUCAGUUAUAGACGGAGCCGCGUCGCAUUAGCUAGUUGGUAAGGUAACGGCUAACCAAGGCAACGAUGCGUAGCCGACCUGAGAGGGUGAUCAGCCACACUGGAACUGAGACACGGUCCAGACUCCUACGGGAGGCAGCAGUAGGGAAUCUUGCGCAAUGGGCGAAAGCCUGACGGAGCAAUGCCGCGUGAGUGAUGAAGGUCUUCGGAUCGUAAAACUCUGUUGUUAGGGAAGAACAAAUGUGUGAGUAACUAUGCCCGUCUUGACGGUACCUAAUCAGAAAGCCCCGGCUAACUUCGUG